CUUCUGAACUCACCCAUACUGAGAACUACAGAGAGAGUUGCGUGGAGCUGAUAGUCUUAAUUAGCUUUGUAUCAACUCAUUUUGGCAAUGGCUUGAAUGUCACAGAUGUUCAUUAUUAUAAACAAAAGUUGUGAACUAAAGCU